rnacentral:rRNA from 1 species
GUGAACGCUGGCGGUAGGCCUAACACAUGCAAGUCGAACGGCAGCACAGAGGAGCUUGCUCCUUGGGUGGCGAGUGGCGGACGGGUGAGGAAUACAUCGGAAUCUACCCUGUCGUGGGGGAUAACGUAGGGAAACUUACGCUAAUACCGCAUACGACCUUCGGGUGAAAGAGGGGGCUCGCACGACCUCUCGCGAUUGGAUGAGCCGAUGUCGGAUUAGCUAGUUGGCGGGGUAAAAGCCCACCAAGGCGACGAUCCGUAGCUGGUCUGGAAGGAUGAUCAGCCACACUGGAACUGAGACACGGUCCAGACUCCUACGGGAGGCAGCAGUGGGGAAUAUUGGACAAUGGGCGCAAGCCUGAUCCAGCCAUACCGCGUGGGUGAAGAAGGCCUUCGGGUUGUAAAGCCCUUUUGUUGGGAAAGAAAAGCGACCGGCUAAUACCCGGUUGUUCUGACGGUACCCAAAGAAUAAGCACCGGCUAACUCUGUGCCAGCAGCCGCGGUAAAAC